UAUUUAAUAGGGUUUUCCUAUGACAAUGCUUUUAUAAAUCUAAGAGAUCCUGCAAAAAACACUUGAACGCUUUUGCCAUUCAAGCACAGAGGCCAAAGAUGGAGAAACUUACUUCGUCCAAGCUUGUUUUCUGUGUCGUGCUCUCAGCUCUUGCACUCGGUAUUCUAUACAUGGAUGGUCCGAUGAUGCCGGCGGUCGAAGCGAGAGGCGAUUUCCGGUGUCCGCGCAUGAUCAACUGCACUCAAGUGUGCCAAGGCUUCCCUUACCACUGCGUGGACGGGAAAUGCAUCUGCGGCGAAGACUUCCCACCGCCUAAUCCACCAAGCUUCAAGCUCUAGCUUGUCCCAUUAUUCUAAUGGAAUAACGUUUAGAUUAUGUGUCCAA